rnacentral:rRNA from 1 species
GUUUGAUCAUGGCUCAGAUUGAACGCUGGCGGCAUGCUUUACACAUGCAAGUCGAACGGCAGCACGGGGGCAACCCUGGUGGCGAGUGGCGAACGGGUGAGUAACACAUCGGAACGUGUCCAGUUGUGGGGGAUAACCAGUCGAAAGAUUGGCUAAUACCGCAUGAUCUGGCGACAGCAAAGCGGGGGAUCGCAAGACCUCGCGCGAUUGGAGCGGCCGAUGUCCGAUUAGCUAGUUGGUGGGGUAAAGGCCCACCAAGGCGACGAUCGGUAGCUGGUCUGAGAGGAUGAUCAGCCACACUGGGACUGAGACACGGCCCAGACUCCUACGGGAGGCAGCAGUGGGGAAUUUUGGACAAUGGGGGCAACCCUGAUCCAGCCAUGCCGCGUGAGUGAAGAAGGCCUUCGGGUUGUAAAGCUCUUUCGGUGGGAACGAAACGGUUCGUGCCAAUACCACGGACUAAUGACGGUACUCACAGAAGAAGCACCGGCUAACUACGUGCCAGCAGCCGCGGUAAUACGUAGGGUGCGAGCGUUAAUCGGAAUUACUGGGCGUAAAGCGUGCGCAGGCGGUUACUUAAGUCAGGUGUGAAAGCCCUGGGCUUAACCUAGGAAUUGCGCUUGAGACUGGGUAGCUUGGAGUGCGGCAGAGGGAGGUGGAAUUCCACGUGUAGCAGUGAAAUGCGUAGAGAUGUGGAGGAACACCGAUGGCGAAGGCAGCCUCCUGGGCCAGCACUGACGCUCAUGCACGAAAGCGUGGGGAGCAAACAGGAUUAGAUACCCUGGUAGUCCACGCCCUAAACGAUGUCAACUGGUUGUUGGUGGGGUUAAACCCAUUAGUAACGAAGCUAACGCGUGAAGUUGACCGCCUGGGGAGUACG